UUUGUUAGUUUCAAGGUUGAGACAUUGUAACCCAUUCAUAAAACUAUAUCCUCCUUUGUUUCUCCUGGCCAUCCUGCCCCUGCCUGCCAUUGGAGAGCCAGAAUCUGCAUUGGAAGCAGGGAAAGCUCUCUGAUUGGCUGCCGGGUGCCACAGCCGUUCCACAUGGAAGGAAUCCUCCCAGCUGCUUGUGACAUCACAGCCGGCUCUGCCAAUCAGCACAAAGCUCUGUACCAUGGCAUGUUGGCUUCUUUGAGCUUCUUCCUUUCUGGCCAAAUUGAAUAAAUUACCUUGAUGGCUUCUGCUUCAAUUGUUGAACUGAUAAACCAGUCAGUGUUUGUGGCAUAGCUUGGGAAGCUUACUCUUUGGACUAUAACUUCCCAAAGCCUUCAUCCAUCAUGUCAAGGGAGCAGAUACUGGUUUGGAAAUAGGGAAUCUGUACUCCAAAAAAUUACCUCUUCCAAGAUGUGGUCUGACAACAUGGGAGAUGUGAUAGAGAUGCCCUCCUGAUCAAUCCCAUUUGAUCAUAUGAACAGAAUGAUUCACCUCUUGUUCACUGUCAUGUUUGUUUCUCUGCUAUAGUAGCAUGAAAGAAAGCAAGGAAUACAAAGCCUAGUCUCUAAGCACUGUCCCCAGGGUCCUGAGCAUAACAAACUAUGAAAGUAGGGCAGAUAAGGACAGUGACUCCAACCUCUCCGCAGAUAUCACUCUGACAAACUGCUAACAUUAAACCAGACAGAAAAAUAACAAUUUCCGGAACUGAAGGAAAUUAUGUGCAUGUUUUCAGUGAAAAGGCUAAUUUUUCACACAAUAAAGCCAACACUUUUUGUAGG